AUGACGAAACCAAAACGAGCGGGAGGAAUCGGCUUCAGGGACAUGCAUUUGUUUAACAUUGGCCUUCUAGCCAAACAAGGAUGGAGGCUACUUCAAAAUACAGACAACCUUUGUGCCCGUGUUUUGAAAUCUAAGUACUACCCGAAUGGGAACCUUCUGGACACUGUUUUUGCAUCGGAUGCGUCACAGGUUUGGAGGUGCAUAGAGGCUGGCCUAGAACUGCUGAAAAAAGGAGUUAUCUGGCGCGUGGGUGACGGCAAAAGUAUCCAGAUUCAGAGAGACCAAUGGAUCCCUCGUAAGGACGGUCUCAAGAGUGCAUCCUUCAUUCGAAGAUCUCGCCUUCGCUGGGUGAGCCAACUCAUCGAUGAGGAACAAAAAACUUGGAACGUUCCACUCAUCAAACAGAUAUUCUACCCCUUCGACGCAGACGAAAUCUGUACGGUCCCCCUCCCAAGGACAGAGGCAAAAGACUGUUUGGCCUGGCACUAUGAAAGGAAUGGAAACUUUUCGGUGAGAAGUGCUUACAAACCGGCAGCAACCCUCAAGAACAACUCUCAUCUCUCAUCAUCCAGUUCGACGAGUGAUGCGAACGAUCGCAGCAUAUGGGACCUCAUCUGGAAAGCUGAUGUGCCUCCGAAAGUUAAACCUUUGGAUGGAGGGUAG
rnacentral:rRNA from 1 species